GGAGAUGUGGCUCAGUGGUAGAGCGCUUGCCUAGCAUGCAUGAAGCCCUGGGUUCGAUUCCUCAGCACCUCA
rnacentral:tRNA from 1 species